CAAUCAUCAUCAUUGUCGUCAUCCUCUGUAAGAUCUGAUGACACCAUAAUUCUGAAAUUCUCUGCGUUUGACCCUUGUGAAGAAGCAGCCAGUGGUGAAGGGAGCCAACCCAAAAGACAGUGCUGGAUAAACUAUGAGGCUAAAGCGUUGAUUGAAAGAAUCCUAAGGUCAAAACCUGGUGACGAACACAUCAUAUCGUAUGGAAAAACCAAGACACUGACAGAUGCCACCAGAAGGCAGAUGAUCAACAUACUUGCUGCUGAGAUGACAGAAACACAUGGACAUCGAGGCAGCCAUUGCUGUUUUGAGAUACUCUGCUGAUGAAGACACUGUCCGGGAGAAGAUGAAGACUACCUUCCCUCAUCGCCAAUCAAUGGUCAAUGAUGCAGACAAAUCAGCAAUGUCUUCUCAGUCUUCCCCAGAUAUUUGUACAUACCAGGACUGAUCAAACAGAAGCCUGAAGUCUUGUUCUGUGAGGCCACAACCAAUACAUUCUUGGAGAAGUGGCCAGCCACUUUCAAGGGAAAAGUGAUGAAGGAAAGCCAUGGACUUACACCCACCACAGAACUCUUGGAAUUGAUGCGCAAUGCUGAGUCAGCUGUUGAAAAGGAGAAUGGCUGGGACAGUGACAUGGCUGCUAUCUUGCUGCUGCUACAUUUGCUACCACCAGCUGCGCAAGGUCGUAAGAAGCCAGGGAAGAUGUCUGCAUGUCAAGCGGUAGGCCAGCUCAUCAAAUUUCAAAAGGUUGGAACCAAUGUGCAGCAGCAUCUGGAUAGCAUCACCCAAAGCAGUCAGCCCUACCUUCUUGCCUCGAGAUCCACAAAGAGCAGCAUUCACUCCUACUUUGUUGUGAUCGACAAGCAUGCGGUUCCAUGUAAGGCAACGGCCUCAGUGGGAGCCUUUGACAAACUCUGUAAGGCUCACUUCGUCUUCGGUAUGUCAUACAGUUCUUGCCUGAGUAACUUCUUCACUUUUGUGCAAACAACCAUCUAUAACAUUGAUAUGGGGGAAACAAAGGAGACUCCCCAAGUUUCUGAGUUGAGAGCAAGAAUGUUGCGUUAAGUGAAGAUCUGCUAAAGUGAAAUGAUUAAGUGUUUUCUAUGCAAGACUGAGCAUACAAGUUCAAACACCCUUGUCAAGCACCUUAAAGUAAUUAAUGGACUCCAGGGAGAACUCUUCAUCUAAAAUGUGGUCAAGUGGGAUGUUCACAUUCCUUUGGUAGCUUUUCUGGUUUUAGAAAGCAUUUAAAUAAUUGCCACAUUAGC